rnacentral:rRNA from 1 species
UACGAAGGGGGCUAGCGUUGCUCGGAAUCACUGGGCGUAAAGCGCACGUAGGCGGCUUUUUAAGUCAGGGGUGAAAUCCUGGAGCUCAACUCCAGAACUGCCUUUGAUACUGAGAAGCUUGAGUCCGGGAGAGGUGAGUGGAACUGCGAGUGUAGAGGUGAAAUUCGUAGAUAUUAGGAAGAACACCAGUGGCGAAGGCGGCCCACUGGAUCGGUACUGACGCUGAGGUGCGAAAGCGUGGGGAGCAAACAGG